AGAAGGUUCUAGUCCACAUGAAGAUUUGGACUUGAAGAUGGUUAAUAUGUGGCAAGUCCAUUUCGACAAUAUCCAGCCCAAUUAAUUAUUUAAACAUGGAAAAGAAGAGUCUAAUCCUUUCAAAUUCGGACUCCUCUUUAUGGUGCAUUUAUCAUAGGCUUUUGGAAGGCUGAAGGACAUUUUUGAGACUUGCAAAUGAAGGAUGAACCUAGUCAAAAUGGUUGGAAGUUUUGCUGCAACUUCCCAAGGUUAAUUAAUUGCUGCCAAGACUUUAAGUAGUAUUCCUUUCAUCUUCACCAACUUUCAUUUAAUGUUUUUCUAGUUGGUUCAAUGCACCCAAGGCUUGUUUUGCCUAUAAAUACUUGGUGUUUUCACUUGUAAUUAAGCAAUUCCGAAAUAUAAUCUUUUUGUGAGAAUUUUCUCUCUAUUGUUCUUGUGUAGAACUUACGGUAGUUUCAAGUACAA
rnacentral:lncRNA from 1 species